UUUAUGGAGAGUUUGAUCCUGGCUCAGAGUGAACGCUGGCGGCGUGCCUAAUACAUGCAAGUCGAACGAUGAAGCUUUUAGCUUGCUAGAAGUGGAUUAGUGGCGCACGGGUGAGUAAUGCAUAGGUUAUGUGCCCUUUAGUCUGGGAUAGCCACUGGAAACGGUGAUUAAUACUAGAUACUCCCUACGGGGGAAAGUUUUUCGCUAAAGGAUCAGCCUAUGUCCUAUCAGCUUGUUGGUGAGGUAAUGGCUCACCAAGGCUAUGACGGGUAUCCGGCCUGAGAGGGUGAUCGGACACACUGGAACUGAGACACGGUCCAGACUCCUACGGGAGGCAGCAGUAGGGAAUAUUGCUCAAUGGGGGAAACCCUGAAGCAGCAACGCCGCGUGGAGGAUGAAGGUUUUCGGAUUGUAAACUCCUUUUGUUAGAGAAGAUAAUGACGGUAUCUAACGAAUAAGCACCGGCUAACUCCGUGCCAG
rnacentral:rRNA from 1 species